UAGAAUAAUGUGGGUAAGGGAAGUCGGCAAGUCAGAUCCGUAACUUUGAAAUAAGGAUUGUCUCUAAGGGCUGGGUCAGGUGGGCUGGGUGUGAAGCAGAGCUGGGUGUGUGAAAUGGUUGUAUGAGGUGCCCUGGUGGCCUUCCUCCUAUGUGAUGUAAGAUGGCUGCUGGUGGUGGUACCUCUGGAUAUGUGCCAGGCCCUUCUUGUGGAUCACCCUGGCUGUGUCGUGUGCUCUUACCCUGCCCCUUCUGUGACUCUUCCUGCUCUAGUGGUGGGAUGAAGAAGGGCUGCCAGGAUGGGGUGGUUGGCCAUGGCUGGCAACUAACAGCUGAUGUAGAACUGGUGCAGACCAGGAUAAUCCGACUGUUUAAUUAAAACAAAGCAACGUGAAGGCCUGAGGUGGGUGUUGACGGAUAUGAAUUCUGCCCAGUGCGCUGAAUGUCAAAGUGAAGAAAAAUAGCCAAAUGCCUUGUCAUCUAAUUAGUGAUGUGCAUGAAUGGAUGAAUGAGAGUUACAUAGUUAAAUUGGGUUGAAAAAAGACAAAGUCCAUCGAGUCCAACCCCUCCAAAUGAAAACCCAGCCCCAUACACACACCCCUCCCUACUGUCACAUAAAUGAUAUAUACCCAUAUCUAUACUAACUAUAGAGUUUAGUAUCACAAUAGCCUUUGUAUUAUGUCUGUCCAAGAAAUCAUCCAAGUCCCUCUUAUAGUCAUUAACUGAAUCAUCACCCGGCAGUGCAUUCCCCAACCUCACUGUCCUCACUGUGAUGAACCCCCUACUCUGUUCCUUUAAAUGAAACUUCUUUUCCUCUAGUCUGAAGGGGAGGCCUCUGGUACGUGAUUCUCUUUAUGGGUAAAAAGGUCCCCUGCUAUUUGUCUAUAAUGUCCUCUAAUGUACUUGUAAAGUCUAAUCAUGUCCCCUCACAAGCGCCUUUUUUCCCCCAGAGAAAACAACCCCAACCUUGUCAGUCUCCCCUCAUAAUUUAACUCUUCCCUCCCUCUAACCAGUUUAGUUGCACUUAGUCUCUGCACUCUCUCCAGCUCAUUUAUAUCCCUCUUAAGGACUGGAGUCCAAAACUGCCCCCAUACUCCAGAUGAGGCCUCACCAGGGACCUAUAAAGAGACACAAUUAUGUUUCAUCCCUUGAGUUAAUGCCCUUUUUUAUACAAGAACUUUAUUUGCUUUAGUAGCCACAGAAUGACACUGCCCAGAAUUAGACAACGUGUUAUCUACAAAGACCCCAAGAUCCUUCUCAUUUAAGGAAACUCCCAACACACUGCCAUUUAGUGUAGAACUUGCAUUUAUAUUAUUUUUGCCAAAGUGCAUAACCUGCAUUUAUCAACAUUGAACCUCAUUUUCCAGUUUGCUCCCCAGUUUUCCAGUUUAGACAAAUCACUGUGCAAAGUGGCAGCAUCCUGCAUGGGACCUAUAGUUCCACUGUCCCUAUCUACUAUCUAGUCUGUAACUGUGAAGAGAAGCAAGAGGUAUAAAAUAAGUUGGAGGGCCCUGCACUUGCUGCAAAGGGGUGCUGCUGGUAAAAUACCACUACUCUUAUUGUUUAUUCACUUACCCAGUAAUGCAGUGAGCCCUCAGGGGCUCUCAGUUUUGGACACAAGUGCCUAGCCCCUAAUCUGGGAAGGAUCCUGUAUCUCACAGUAAUAUAACACAUUAAGUUUUAAAGAUCCACCUGUUAUGUCCUAUAAAAAAAGCCUGCACAGUUGGUUCAAUGCUGGUAAAGGAAGAUGUUUUUCUUGGGAAGGAAAGUAGACAAACAGUAUAAAGCCCAGCGAAGAAGGGAACUUUUCCAUGCUGGAUGUGCAAUUGCUGUUGUAAUAUACAAAAAGGUGAGGUGAUUUAUCAUUUUAGGAGUAGAAUCCCUGUUCCUAUAUCUGCCCAUUAUUCACGCACAGAACAAUCACUCCAGGACUUCACCCCAGCUCCCAAAGCUCUAUGGACACUUAUGAUUAAGUACUGGAGGGAUUUUUGGAGGGUCAGUAUUUACCAUUUUUUACUAUGUGUAUUGAUAAAAAAUGUUGACGUUUAUAUAUAUAUAGUAGCUUCCAGGAUAUUUUUUUUUGAGUAUUGGUUUAAUGUCGGUCAGACAACAAGUAUGGCCAGGGAUAGGAUCAGGGAACACAAACCAGCAAUUAUAUAUAAAAGGUUGGACCAGUCUGUAGCAAAGAAUUUAGUAGAAGCAGUACAUGCUGUACAUCUGAAAUUUUAGCUGAUCGUGGAUGUUGUUCAAAGGAUGGAAAGGGGUGGCAACGGAGUAAAGAAAUUGCUAUAAGGAGGUAGAGAUUGGAUAGUUUAUCUCCUAAUGUGUUAAACAUGGAAUACGAUCCGUCUCCUGUUUUUAGGUAAUUUAUGUGUUCUUAACAGGGUUUUUAAUACCUCUUUUUGUCACAGCUUUUAUGAGGAUACAAUUGGCUAAAUGUGAAAUAUGGAAUUCUACUUGAAACUGUCACAUAAGUCAAGUUUCACUGAUGGAUAUGUUGUA
rfam:Xenopus laevis strain J chromosome 6S, whole genome shotgun sequence.